rnacentral:rRNA from 1 species
AGGACGAACGCUGGCGGCGUGCUUAACACAUGCAAGUCGAACGAAAGGACGGGAAGAGCUUGCUCUUUCCGGAAUUGAGUGGCAAACGGGUGAGUAACACGUAAACAACCUGCCUUCAGGAUGGGGACAACAGACGGAAACGACUGCUAAUACCGAAUAAGUUCCAAGAGCCGCAUGGCCCAUGGAAGAAAAGGUGGCCUCUACCUGUAAGCUAUCGCCUGAAGAGGGGUUUGCGUCUGAUCAGGCAGUUGGUGAGGUAACGGCCCACCAAACCUACGAUCAGUAGCCGGUCUGAGAGGAUGAACGGCCACACUGGAACUGAGACACGGUCCAGACUCCUACGGGAGGCAGCAGUGGGGAAUAUUGCACAAUGGGGGAAACCCUGAUGCAGCGACGCCGCGUGAGUGAAGAAGUAUUUCGGUAUGUAAAGCUCUAUCAGCAGGGAAGAAGAAAUGACGGUACCUGACUAAGAAGCCCCGGCUAACUACGUG